GUUGGAUCGCAUUUUAAUUUUUAAGAAAAAAUAAGAAAAGAAAUCAAUGUCCUUUGACAUGAGCGAAGGUACCUAGAUUUCAUCUUCAUUCUUCUAAGUUUGAAGAUAGUAGAGAAAUAAAAAUAGAAAGUAGAAACAUUCUUAUUUCUCUCUUAUUCUUUGAUCUUUUGCUAGUAGAAAUUGGAUUAAAUUUCAAAGGUGAGGAAUGAAGAUACAGAAUACAGUACAUCGUAUAGGUGAGAUUGGAG
rnacentral:lncRNA from 1 species